UGGGGAAUAUUGCACAAUGGGGGAAACCCUGAUGCAGCGAUGCCGCGUGGAGGAAGAAGGUUUUCGGAUUGUAAACUCCUGUUGAAGAGGACGAUAAUGACGGUACUCUUUUAGAAAGCUCCGGCUAACUACGUGCCAGCAGCCGCGGUAAUACGUAGGGAGCGAGCGUUGUCCGGAAUUACUGGGUGUAAAGGGAGCGUAGGCGGGACGGCAAGUCAGAUGUGAAAACUAUGGGCUCAACUCAUAGACUGCAUUUGAAACUGUUGUUCUUGAGUGAGGUAGAGGUAAGCGGAAUUCCUGGUGUAGCGGUGAAAUGCGUAGAUAUUAGGAGGAACACCAGUGGCGAAGGCGGAUUGCUGGACAGCAACUGACGGUGAGGCGCGAAAGUGUGGGGAGCAAACAGGAUUAGAUACCCUGGUAGUCCACACCGUAAACGAUGGAUACUAGGUGUAGGGGAUAUUAAGUCUUCUGUGCCGUCGCAAACGCAGUAAGUAUCCCACCUGGGGAGUACGGCCGCAAGGUUGAAACUCAAAGGAAUUGACGGGGGCCCGCACAAGCAGUGGAGUAUGUGGUUUAAUUCGACGCAACGCGAAGAACCUUACCAGGUCUUGACAUCCACUUAAACUUACAGAGAUGUAAGGUGUGCUUGCACAAAGUGAGACAGGUGGUGCAUGGUUGUCGUCAGCUCGUGUCGUGAGAUGUUGGGUUAAGUCCCGCAACGAGCGCAACCCUUAUCUUCAGUUACUAACGCGUGAAGGUGAGGACUCUGAAGAGACUGCCGGGGACAACUCGGAGGAAGGUGGGGACGACGUCAAAUCAUCAUGCCCCUUAUGACCUGGGCUACACACGUGCUACAAUGGCGUUAAACAAAGAGAAGCAAGACCGCGAGGUGGAGCAAAACUCAGAAACAACGUCCCAGUUCGGACUGCAGGCUGCAACUCGCCUGCACGAAGUCGGAAUUGCUAGUAAUCGUGGAUCAGCAUGCCACGGUGAAUACGUUCCC
rnacentral:rRNA from 1 species